ensembl:lncRNA
UCACCUGUGCAGCUAACCUUGCAAUAUGUUUUGCUUUAGACAACAUUUAAAUCACACUGCAUGUAAGAAACAAAGUGGGACUUUUCUUUGAAUUCAAGUCUUUAUUAAAGUUUUUCCAUUGAAAAGCCUUAUGGCUGACAGCAAUAAAGCAUUGCAGUCUGACUUCAAUCAGUGGUGGACUGUCUUGAACCCCUUAAGUCCUUAAGAAAGGGAGGCAAGCUGAGAAAUCAAUUUGCAAUUUACAUGAGCAGCAGUGUGUUGAAAACAGGCUAAAAGCUAUAGCUUAGAAGAGCCAGCAGUAAUUAGAGGCCUCUCACUACAAACGCUGCUGGAUUGGCCAAUCAAUGGUGCUCAGGACAGUUCUGGCUAUCUGCAAGACUAUUGCUCAUAUGCAUGUGGUGGUCAAUAAGCUGAAAGAUAUCAACCAAGGAGAAAUGACUACAAACAGAAAGAAAAGCUGGCAGAAAAGGAGCAGAUUUAAAGGGUUAAACGCUGGAAAAAUAGCAGUGAGAGGACAAAAGGACCAUUGUGAGAUGCAGAGGUCUCCCCGGAAAGGAGAGAGAGGAAAGAAAGGCACCACUCGCCGGUCCCCUCUCUCCAUUGUGAGUGGACGGAGUGCAGCCACACAUGACAGAUGUCCUGCCCAUUGUCCCCCAUCAGCCUCCUCUCUGCCUCCUGGCCCUACUGGAAUUCCAAGAGAUGCGUUCUGCGUGUGUGAGAGUGUGUGCCUAUGCAUGAGUGUGUGAGGUAGAGCGUAUUGCCUUGAGUCCAUGUGGAGCCGUGUGUGAGUGUAAGGGGGGGUUUGGGGUGUGUGAAUAGGGGCUCCAAAGUCUGAAGUGCCAAAGUUAGCUAAACUACUCAAUACAACUCCCACGGUCCUGUCACUCAAAUGCACACACACGAGAACGUGCAACAGUGCACUUUCACAGCUUUUAACUGCACAUGCAAAUCAAAAAGCUUCAUCACAGGCUCAAAUGAAGAUCUCUCCUGCCUAAGCUAUUACACAAUUCACUACAACACCUGUCACCUGAAUAAGCAGUAAUAUUUAAACAGCAAGCGGCGGGGGUGUAAAGUGAUAUGUGGACAGGAAGCUCUGUGAAGUGCGGUGAUGCACUACGUUCUCUGUUAAGAGACCCACCAUGUGGUAACUCUCCAAAAUCAUCCCGUCAGCUGUCAGUCAGCAGGCAACAGUACCGCUGGGCACAAGAGAGAUGCAGAGUUUAUAAGUGAAUUGGAAGAAAACAGAUAUUCUCAUUUCUUAAAGAACACUCUACAACUGGGACUUUCCCUCCAUUUUCACUCAGCAUUUUUAACAGUUGCUUAAAGGAAUUGUUCAACCAAAAAUUUAAAUUGUGUCAUCAUUUACUCACCCUCAUGUCGUUUCUUCUAUUUCUUUCUUACGUUGAACACAAAAGAAGAUAUUUUGAAGAAUUUUGAAGAAUCAAACAGUUGGUCCCAAAUGACUUUCAUAGUAGUUUAAACAAUUUUAUCAACUGUUUGAAUAGCAUUCUUUAAAAUAUCUUCUUGUAUGUUCAAAAUAAGAAACUCAUACCGUUUUGGAACGACAUAAGGAUGAGUAAAUGUUGACAAAAUUUUAAUUUUUAGGUGAACUAAACCUUUAACAAAUUAAACUGAAUGUGUCCUAAUAAUACAAUGCACUAGCUGCAUCACACAGCAA